GAAAAGAAAAGAAAAGAAAAGGAAGAGGAAGACAAAUCUUAAGUGUCAUUUAUUAUUCCAAUAAAUCCAGCCAUCUUACUUGUUUUCCGUUUUCCCUUUUUCUAUUUCCUGCUCAUCUCUCUGCAUUUUUAUUUGGAGAAUUCUGAUUUCUUCGAUAUCGACGCCAAUCACAAUGCCUGCUUCUUCAUGAUCUUAGGGCGUUUGCUUGGAUCUGGUGGAUUUCUGGCUGCAUUUCAGAUUGUGUCCCUCAAAAUUUGGACUGGUACUGUGACCAUAGUUAAUCGGGAGAGGAAGAAUUCUUAGUCAUCUCAACAUGAACAGUCUACAAGAAAGGAAAUUAGGUGAAAAUGGGAUAUAUGACAGCUUAAAUGGCAAUCAUUGUCUGAAUGUCAAAGAAAAAGAAGGCCCUGAAGGCAUGGUCGAUGGCAAUAUACAAUCAUUGGUUGAGUGGUUGAACUGUAUGAUUCCCCAUUUAAAUUUGCCAUUGGAAGCUUCAGAGGAAGAAUUGAGAGCAUGCCUGAUUGAUGGCACUGUUUUGUGUAGCAUUUUGAACAAGCUGAAUCCUGGUUUGGUUGAAAUGAGAGGAAACACUGAGCCUGGACCAGAAAAAAUUAAAAAGUUUCUAGCAGCAAUGGAUGAAAUGGGAUUGCCUAGGUUUGUACUUGCAGACAUACAACAGGGAUACAUGGUGCCAGUUUUGCAGUGCCUUGGUACACUUAAAGCGCAUUUUGAAUACAAUGGUGGGAAAGAGAGCCUCCGUAAUCAUUCAAGAAAGUUAUGGAAUCUAUUGUUGACAAAUACCAAGGGGAUGCGUCAACAAUCAGAAGGAAUUGCUGGUUCCAAAGGGGUACAUCGUUCAGUUAUAUCAGAGCCGUUUCCCACUUUACCUCAUGAUGCUGGACACAAGUUUUCUGAGGAGUUGCCACUAAAGCAAGGAUUCUAUGCUGAUCUUUCGGAUUCUGAUAUUCUGGAUUUGAUGAAAUCAAAUGGUUUGGACGAUGCCUCAACUCGAACAUUGUUCAGUUUGAUGAAUAGAAUUCUAGAUGAUAGCAUUGAAAGGAAGAAUGGUCACGUUCAGCAUAUGGUACGUAUAAUGAAGAAAGUUAUCCAAGUUAUUGAGAAACGAUUUUCAAUUCAAGCAGAGAACUUGAGAGAUCAAAACAAUCUUUAUAGUGUUCGCACAGAGAAGUGCCAAUCAAAAAUAAAAGUACUUGAGACCCUUGCAUCUGGGACCACAGAAGAAAUUCAGGUAUUACUAUCACAGCUGCAGCACAUAAAGAUCGAGAAAACCAAAAUAGAGCAGAAGGAAAAGCUUGAAGAGCAGGAUCUCUAUAGAUUAAAGGAAGAGAAAAAUAAUAGUGAUGUUGAGAACUUAAAUCUGAGAAAGGAACUAGAAUUAGCCAAGAAGACGCAUGAAGAGCAUUGUUUACUCCUAGAAGCGCAAGCAAAGGAAUCAAAAGUUGAAUUAGAGAAAAGAUUGAAGGAACUUGAGUGUUUACUAGCAGAAUCAAGAAACAAAAUGAAAGAACUCGAUUCAUUUUCUAAAUCUAAAUCUCAAAGAUGGAAAAAGAAAGAGGGAAGCUAUCAGAGCUUUAUCAAUUAUCAAUUUAAAGCUUUGCAGGAAUUAAGGGCUACAUCUGAUUCCAUAAAACAUGAAGUCUUGAAGACAAAAAGGAGUUACUUGGAGGAAUUUCGGUUCUUGGGAGUGAAGCUUAAAGGACUAGCAGAUGUUGCUAAUAAUUAUCGUUCCGUGCUUGCAGAAAAUCGAAAAUUGUAUAAUGAAAUUCAAGAUUUGAAAGGAAAUAUUAGAGUGUAUUGUCGGAUAAGGCCAUUUCUUCCUGGCCAAUGUAAGAAGCAAACAACCAUAGAAUAUAUCAGUGAAAAUGGUGAAUUGAUAGUUUCGAAUCCCUCAAAACAAGGAAAAGACAAUGAUAGACUUUUCAAAUUCAACAAGGUUUUUGGUCCAACAGCAAGUCAAGGUGAGAAUUUUUGUGAAAAUUUGAUUUGAAUUUUGUGCUUUCUCUAUAUUAAGAGAAGAUAUGCAGCUAAUAUUUAUAUUGGAAAAUGCAAUUGCUUCCAGAGGAGGUUUUUCUGGACACACAACCAUUAAUUAGGUCAGUUCUUGAUGGAUAUAAUGUCUGUAUCUUUGCAUAUGGUCAAACUGGCUCAGGAAAGACUUACACAAUGAGUGGACCUAAUUUAUCAUCAGAAGAAGACUGGGGGGUCAAUUAUCGAGCCUUACAUGAUCUUUUCCAAAUCUCUUAUAGUAGGAGAAGCUCCAUUAGAUAUGAAGUUGGUGUACAAAUGGUUGAAAUAUAUAAUGAACAAGUUCGUGAUCUACUCUCAACCAAUGGCUCUCAGAAAAGACUGGGGAUUUGGAAUACAACCCAACCAAAUGGGCUAGCUGUCCCCGAUGCUAGCAUGCAUUGCGUUAAAUCAAGCACAGAUGUCCUAGAGUUGAGAACGGUUGUUAUUCCUGCUUUUGCAAUGGAUAUUGUUUGCUGCUCCAUAGCUUCAUGAAUAGCAACCCUAUCUUCUGGCCUCAUUUUGUCAAACUCAUCUAUACAGACAACACCUCCAUCUGCCAAAACCAUAGCCCCGCCUUCAAGAUAGAAUUCACGCGAACUGCUAUCUCGUAUAACAGAAGCUGUCAGACCAGCAGCUGAUGAACCUUUUCCAGAGGUGUAAACAGCUAUUGGAGCUGUCUUCUCAACAAACUUGAGAAACUGUGAUUUAGCAGUGGAUGGAUCGCCCAAAAGCAAGACAUUGACAUCACCCCUUAGCUUCACUCCAUCAGGUAAAUUCUUCCUUGAUCCCCCAAACAAAAGACAAGCCACUGCCUUCUUCACAUUUUCUUCUCCAAAUAUAGAUGGAGCAAUCUUGGAGCAUAUGGCUUCAUAUGCGUCUGCUCGUGAAGCAAAUCUUUUGAAUUCUUCUAUCUCUUCUUGUGUGAAAGCUGUAUGCCCCUGCGAAUUUGCCUCAUUUACUUCUUCUAUUCCCACAACUCUUAUAUAAGGCUGUCUAACUGCAACUGCUCCUCUAUGGGAGGUUGAUGAGUUGGCUCCUUGAAAUAUGCUAUAAAUCCCUAUGAUGGUCAAUCUUGUGCCAGGUACAAUCCUUUGAACAAGAUGGCGAUCCACUGAUAGAAGCAUGUUUCUGGGGAGCUCUCCAGUAGGGACAUCCUCAGGAUUCUCCUGGAGUUUCAGGGUUUGCUGAUCAACAUACUUGCUUUUGUCAGGAACCACCAUCCACGGAUCAAUGGGGCAUGGUUCUUCACCAAGCUGAGGAACAUGGUCACAUGAACGAGGUACUAUUGCCCCUCCAAGGCCUGGGCGGCAAGGUACUUCCUUAGUACUUUGGCAAUUUUUACAUACUAGACUCACAUAAGUUGCCUUUGCCUUGACUCUUGAAGCAGCUAUGGUGAUCCCAGCUAUCUUAACCAGCUUUGAGAUAUAUUGUGCCCCAAGGAAUCGCAUGGAAACAGGAUCCUCCUUGGAACUCAAUAAGAUCUGCACUUCCCGAAUAUCUGGCUCCUUCAUUUCCCCACUCUCUGCCUGCUCCUUCAACCUCAAACUCUGCAGAACCUCCACUGCUGCCGUCUCAAACAAGGGGAGGUAGUCGGAGGGGGAAGAGCGGAGGAGGGAGGGGAGCUCGGCGUCGAAGGCGAGGAGAUCUUCGAGGUGGACAAGGAGAGACUUAGAGUUGUGGACUAGACUUUCGCGAUAGGGGAAUACAUUUUUCUUGCUCUCGAAGUUUCGGAUGAAUUCCUUGAAUUUCUGGAGGAUGGUGUGGCGGCUGGGUGUGGUGGCCGCCGCGUCGGAACCUGAUUCAGGGAACUGCGCCUGGUCGCUGUAGUAUACGGCUCCUUCAUCCCAACCAGACAUACUUUCUCUCUCUCUCUCUCUCU
rnacentral:misc_RNA from 1 species